CCGGAGCUAAUACCGGAUAAUCCUUUUCUACUCAUGUAGAAAAGCUGAAAGACGGUUUACGCUGUCACUUACAGAUGGGCCCGCGGCGCAUUAGCUAGUUGGUGAGGUAACGGCUCACCAAGGCGACGAUGCGUAGCCGACCUGAGAGGGUGAUCGGCCACACUGGGACUGAGACACGGCCCAGACUCCUACGGGAGGCAGCAGUAGGGAAUCUUCCGCAAUGGACGAAAGUCUGACGGAGCAACGCCGCGUGAGUGAUGAAGGUUUUCGGAUCGUAAAACUCUGUUGUUAGGGAAGAACAAGUACGAGAGUAACUGCUCGUACCUUGACGGUACCUAACCAGAAAGCCACGGCUAACUACGUGCCAGCAGCCGCGGUAAUACGUAGGUGGCAAGCGUUGUCCGGAAUUAUUGGGCGUAAAGCGCGCGCAGGCGGUCCUUUAAGUCUGAUGUGAAAGCCCACGGCUCAACCGUGGAGGGUCAUUGGAAACUGGGGGACUUGAGUGCAGAAGAGAAGAGUGGAAUUCCACGUGUAGCGGUGAAAUGCGUAGAGAUGUGGAGGAACACCAGUGGCGAAGGCGACUCUUUGGUCUGUAACUGACGCUGAGGCGCG
rnacentral:rRNA from 1 species